GCCCCAGUGGCGAAAUGGUAUACGCAUCGGACUUAAAAUCCGACGUUGCGAGACAUGUGGGUUCGAUUCCCACCUGGGGCA
rnacentral:tRNA from 1 species